AAUGAACGCUAGCGAUAUGCUUAACACAUGCAAGUCGAAUGAAUAAGAUUCAUGGCACACGGGUGAGUAAAAUAUAAGAAUUUGCCCAUAGCAUCCAGCAAAAUAGGUUACUAUUAAAUAUGGAAUAUUUAAAGAAAUUGUAUUACUCUGUAACACCUUACUACCAUAGGGUAUAAAGUAAUAGUAAUAUUUUUGGCUAUAGAUAAGCUUAUAUAGGAUUAGGUAGUUGGAGUGGUAAAGGCACACCAAGCCUACGAUCCUUAGUUGGUUUGAGAGAACGACCAGCCACAUUGGAACUGAGAUACGGUCCAGACUGGGUUAUCUAGGCAGCAGUGAGGAAUAU
rnacentral:rRNA from 1 species